rnacentral:lncRNA from 1 species
UAUGUGACAGUCACUAUAGCAGUCACUUUAAAUAGAUGAGUGUAUUUAAUCCCCUAAGAGACCUAUGAGGAGGACAUUAUUAAUUGUAUUUUGCUUAAAAAUGCUGAUAUGGUUUGGCUGUGUCCUCACCCAAAUCUCAUUUUGAAAUGUAGCUCCUCUAAUCCCCACGUGUCGUGGGAGGAACCCAGUUGGUGGUAAUUAAAUCAUGGAGGCAGUUACCCCCAUGCUGUUCUCGCGAUAGUGAGUGAGUUCUUAUGAGAUCUGAUGGUUUUAUAAGAGGCUUUUCCCGCUUUGCUCGGCGUUUUUCUCUCCUGCCACCGUGUGAAGAAGGUGUUUCCUUCCGCUCCACCAUGAUUGUAAGUUUCCUGAGGCCUCCCCAGCCAUGAAGAACUGUGAGUGAAUGAAACCUCUUUUCUUUAUAAAUUACGCAGUCUUGGGCAGUUCUUUAUAGCAGCAUGAGAAAUGACUAAUACAGGGAAAUUUAGGUUUGAAAAUGAUGUCUGACUUGGGUAAAGGCAAAGAGCUGGUAUGUGGGAGAGCUGGGACUAAUAUCUAAGUUUCCUGAUUCCAAAUACAGUUCCUUUUUUACUGUACAAUUUUGCUCCUCCUCAGGAAGACCCUUUAUUGUUAAUUUUCAGCUACAAGUCCUUCUACCAGUUAUACUUUCAAUCAUAUUUGUGUCUUAUUAUUGCAUUUGUUCAAGUAUAUUAGCUUCUAUGUAUGUAAAAACCUUUAUACCAUACAGUGUAUAAGUUUAUGCUUUAAUGACAAAUAAUUUUGAUAGGCUGUGAUUAUUUCAUUUACAAAUUGAGCAUCAGGCUGUUGAUUAGGAAAUAAUCCCUUAUUAUGACAUUGUACCUGUAAGAAAACUAAAGUCGACUUGAGUCAUUUCAUUUAUAGCUUGAGUAAUUAGCUUUACAUUCAAGCACUGUCUUAGAAUGAUCUAGGAAAAGAAUAGAGGGCAAGGUCUGAAAGAGAAAUAUCAUCUUCACUUUUGAUUUUUGGGUAUAGAAAGUAUGACAUUAACUUGAAAGAGACUAAGACAUCUAGCUAUUUUCUUGUACUUUGAAACUGCCCUCAUCAAGGACAACUCUUAAUUCUGAUAGGGUAUCAUUCUGAGGUGUGAGUGGGCUGUAUUUUGAGUUCAGCUUACUGUUCACCAAAAAUUCUCAGAGAUUCUUAUUACCUUGGUGAAUUUUCAUGGUCUAAGGUCUGGUCAUUAGUCUUGAAGAUAAGAAACUGGGCCUUUCAUCUCCCCAGCUCACCCACUGUUUUUCUGCUGACAACCCUCCUUGAUAUGCACUUUCUUUGGCAUAUUAAAUUUGCUGAUAAAGUCAGCAGCUCCUUUAGUCCUGGAAAACAUUUUUGUACCCUCUCAUUUUGUGUUGAGUCCAAUAACCAGCAGGGGAUAACCUUUUAUCCUGGCUAGUAGUAAGAUGUAAUAUAUAUAAACAUAGAAAUGUAUGUGCUUCUCCCUUUCCCCACCACUGAGUUCUUUCUUUUUAAAAACCCUUAAAAUAUUUUCAAAAAUAGAAUAAAUUACAAAAGAAAUUGUUUAUCUUAAAGAGUCAGUAGUAAAUUUUGAGUUAUGUAACAUGGAAAAAAGUUGAGGAAAACAUGGUAAUUACCUAUAAUAACACUUUAGUUGUUAAGCAAUGAUAGUUUUUACAUAUUUUUUCCAGCCUUCAAUUUUACAAUUUUGUUAAUUGUAUUUUUUAUCACCUAGAAUUUAAAAAAGGCUAAAAGGCUUAAAGUGAACAAAUAAUGUCCCCAGGCACCUCCAGACCCACUAGUUUUAUUCCUCAGAAGUAACAUUUCCAUUUUCAAAGUGUUUUAGCUAUUUCUUUUGAUAUUUAUUUUCAUAUUAUGAGGUGUAUGUUAAUAAUGUGCUUUCUUUAUCAGUUUUAGUCAUCACCCAGUUACUUCUCACAGUAGCCAAAGACUGAUCUUAUAUACCCUUCCCACUCGUUUCUUUUCCCUAUAUAUACCCAAUAUAGAUAAAUAAAAUGUUUGGGAAAAAACAGUAGUGUGCAGAAGUCCUGUUUUUUCAAUAACAAGGAGCAAGGGUACUAGUUGAGAGUGAAGGAAAUUCGAGGUCUGAGGUAAGAGGAGAAUAAGAGGAAGGAUGGUCUGGGAGUAAGAGAAUAAAUUGGUUAAUGAUUCAUUUCAGUAUGUUCUUGAGAAAGAAAGACAAUUAAUACAUGUGAUCAAUCUCAUAUGCUUAAAGAACAACAAAAAUCACAAAAAUUUAUUCACAAAACAUGCAUAUAAUUAAAUGUUAUGAGUUUUUAUUUAGCUUAAAUAUGAUGGUCAAUGGUAUACCAUGGUUAAAAAUAAAUAAAGGCACUUUGAAUUCCAGAGAUGUAACAUCUCUAGUUGAAGCGUGUAUGUAUGCCC